rnacentral:rRNA from 1 species
UACGAAGGGGGGCUAGCGUUGCUCGGAAUUACUGGGCGUAAAGCGCACGUAGGCGGAUUGUUAAGUCGGGGGGUGAAAGCCCGGAGCUCAACUCCGGAACUGCCAUUGAAACUGUUGGACUUGAGUACGAGAGAGGUGAGUGGAAUUCCCAGUGUAGAGGUGAAAUUCGUAGAUAUUGGGAAGAACACCGGUGGCGAAGGCGGCUCACUGGCUCGUAACUGACGCUCAGGCGCGACAGCGUGGGGAUCAAACAGG